AGUGAACGCUGGCGGUAGGCCUAACACAUGCAAGUCGAACGGCAGCACAGUAAGAUCUUGCUCUUACGGGUGGCGAGUGGCGGACGGGUGAGGAAUACAUCGGAAUCUACUUUUUCGUGGGGGAUAACGUAGGGAAACUUACGCUAAUACCGCAUACGACCUACGGGUGAAAGCAGGGGAUCUUCGGACCUUGCGCGAUUGAAUGAGCCGAUUUCGGAUUAGCUAGUUGGCGGGGUAAAGGCCCACCAAGGCGACGAUCCGUAGCUGGUCUGAGAGGAUGAUCGGCCACACUGGAACUGAGACACGGUCCAGACUCCUACGGGAGGCAGCAGUGGGGAAUAUUGGACAAUGGGCGCAAGCCUGAUCCAGCCAUACCGCGUGGGUGAAGAAGGCCUUCGGGUUGUAAAGCCCUUUUGUUGGGAAAGAAAAGCAGCAGGUUAAUACCCCGCUGUUCUGACGGUACCCAAAGAAUAAGCACCGGCUAACUUCGUG
rnacentral:rRNA from 1 species